GAUGAACGCUGGCGGCGUGCCUAAUACAUGCAAGUCGAGCGAACAGAUGAGGAGCUUGCUCCUCUGACGUUAGCGGCGGACGGGUGAGUAACACGUGGAUAACCUACCUAUAAGACUGGGAUAACUUCGGGAAACCGGAGCUAAUACCGGAUAAUAUUUUGAACCGCAUGGUUCAAUAGUGAAAGACGGUUUUGCUGUCACUUAUAGAUGGAUCCGCGCCGCAUUAGCUAGUUGGUAAGGUAACGGCUUACCAAGGCAACGAUGCGUAGCCGACCUGAGAGGGUGAUCGGCCACACUGGAACUGAGACACGGUCCAGACUCCUACGGGAGGCAGCAGUAGGGAAACUUCCGCAAAGGGCGAAAGCCUGACGGAGCAACGCCGCGUGAGUGAUGAAGGUCUUCGGAUCGUAAAACUCUGUUAUUAGGGAAGAACAAAUGUGUAAGUAACUAUGCACGUCUUGACGGUACCUAAUCAGAAAGCCACGGCUAACUACGUG
rnacentral:rRNA from 1 species